GUCCACGCUGUAAACGAUGAGCACUAGGUGUCGUGGGUAUUGACCCCCGCGGUGCCGCAGCUAACGCAUUAAGUGCUCCGCCUGGGGACUACGGCCGCAAGGUUAAAACUCAAAGGAAUUGACGGGGGCCCGCACAAGCGGUGGAGCAUGUGGUUCAAUUCGACGCAACGCGAAGAACCUUACCUGGGCUAGACAACGGAGGACAGCUCCAGAGAUGGGGUCUUCCCUUCGGGGACCUCGGUUCAGGUGCUGCAUGGCUGUCGU
rnacentral:rRNA from 1 species